CUGGAUAGGAGGGCCUCGAUCC
rnacentral:tRNA from 1 species